rnacentral:rRNA from 1 species
GGAUGCUUAAAAACGGACACUGCUGGAACGGCAGCUAAGACCGGAUGUGCCGCAAGGUGAAAUAUUGUAUAGCCAAAAGAGGAGCUCGCGACCGAUUAGCUAGUUGGUGGGGUAAGAGCCUACCAAGGCUGCGAUCGGUGCCGGUUUGAGAGGACGACCGGCCACACUGGGACUGAGACACGGCCCAGACUCCUACGGGAGGCAGCAGUGGGGAAUUUUCCGCAAUGGGCGAAAGCCUGACGGAGCAAUACCGCGUGAGGGAGGAAGGCUCUUGGGUCGUAAACCUCUUUUCUCAGGGAAGAAUCAAUGACGGUACCUGAGGAAUCAGCAUCGGCUAACUCCGUGCCAGCAGCCGCGGUAAUACGGAGGAUGCAAGCGUUAUCCGGAAUGAUUGGGCGUAAAGCGUCCGCAGGUGGCACAUCAAGUCUGCUGUCAAAGCCCCCAGCUUAACUGGGAAGAGGCGGUGGAAACUGGUGAGCUAGAGAGCAAUAGGGGUAGAGGGAAUUCCCGGUGUAGCGGUGAAAUGCGUAGAGAUCGGGAAGAACACCAGUGGCGAAAGCGCUCUACUAGGUUGCAACUGACACUGAGGGACGAAAGCUAGGGGAGCGAAUGGGAUUAG